AAAAAUCAAUAUAAAAACAAUACCAACAUUAGUAAUGAAGCAUAUAAGCAUGUAUGGGGUACUUGUAUUACUUAUCACAACAACAUCAAUUGCAACAGCAACAUCAACAGGUAAUUUCACAUAUUUUUUUAUCGUUAUCUAUAUAUGUGUAUCUAAGGAUUGUUUAAUAAAUGAAUCAUUUUAUUUUUUAUUGUUGAAUGAUUUUAGUGUUUUUUUACAAAUCACAAAAAGUAAAACUCUUUAAUUGUUAGAGGCCCUUUGAAGACUUUUGUUUUGUUCGUAGGUCUUUUAAAGACGAUAUUAAAUACAAUCAAUGAUCGAUUCAAUAUGAAAUGUGAAUGAUUUCACUAGUAUAUUAUCAAAAACCCAUAAAUCCUUUAUGGCUAUAAUGUAUUUUUUAUAACGAAGAAUGUGUAAUAUUGUGACUUGUUUCAGGUGUUGUGGAUACCGACGCGAAGAUAAUAAUCAGCUUUUGUCAUAUUUAUCUGAAUUGGGGAAGCAGUUGUCAAGAUAAUAAUUGCAAUGAUUAUUGUAGAAAAUUUAAGGGGAAAUUCGCAAAGGGGGAUUGCGAAAUGAUGGAUGGCUCAAUAAAGUGUCAUUGUGAAUGGAU
rnacentral:lncRNA from 1 species